UACGUAGGGGGCGAGCGUUGUCCGAAUUUACUGGGCGUAAAGAGCGCGUAGGCGGACUCUUAAGUGAGAGGUGAAAGGUUCAGGGCUCAACCCGAACAGUGCCUUUCAUACUGGGAGUCUUGAGUGUGGGAGAGGCGAGUGGAAUUUCUGGUGUAGCGGUGAAAUGCGUAGAUAUCAGAAGGAACACCCAUGGCGAAGGCAGCUCGCUGGCCUACAACUGACGCUGAGGCGCGAAAGCGUGGGGAGCAAACAGG
rnacentral:rRNA from 1 species